UCAGUAGAUUGUGAGUUUUUGUAUGUUUGUUUCUGUAGGCUGUUCUCUCUCUGCUGAUAAUCCGACAACAAUCACAGGACACACAGGUGGUUCAGUGCUGUUCCCCUGCUCCUGCUCUGACCUGCACACCAAACCUCAGAAAUUCACCUGGGGGACCUUCAGAACAGGACCUGCGACAGAAAUGUUAAAUGAUGAACACUACCGUGGCAGACUUCAGCUGUUUAAUCACAUUUCUCCUGGUAAUCUGUCUCUGCUCAUAUCUGACCUGAGAGAAGAGGAUGCGGUAGACUACUGGUGCAGCACUGAGAAGGAACACAGAGACAUCACGCUUCAUGUUAAAGACAGACCAGAAGGAGACUGAGCUACAAACUGAGUUGUUCUAAUGAUCUAAAAUUAUGACUUUACGUCAGGGAAAUCCCACCGGCAGGCAGACACUACUCGAACAAACACAUGAAGCGGACAAGAUGGGGGAGUCUCUCACCGCCAUGAUUGCUUCAGCUAUGGAGAAGUUACAGUUGUUUACUGAAGCACAGUUUAAAACCCUGCAAGACAGAUUAGAUAACAUUCAGAAGGAGUUGUCCGGCUGUUACCAUUUUAAGAAAAAAAAUAAGGUAAUUUUUCAUUUGAUGGCCACAACUCAUCUCAAAAAAGUAGGGACAGGGGCAUGAUUGGGUAUAUUAAGAGUAUAUUAGAGAGGCAGAGUCUUUCCGAGUCUUUCAGAAGUAAAGAUGCGCAGAGGUUCACCUCUGUGUGCGAAAAACUGUGUCUACAAUUUGUGGAACAAUUUCACAAUAAUGUUCCUCAAUGUAAAAUUGUGAAGACUAUGAAUAUCUCUUCAUCUACAGUACAUAAUAUCAUCAAAAGAUUCUGAGAAUCUGGAGAAAUCUCUGUGCGCAAGGGACAAGGGUGAAAGUCAAUACUGCAUGCCCGUGAGAUUUGAAAUUCUUUUUGGAAACCAUGGACACCGUGUCCUCUACACUAAAGAGGACUAAAUAGGAGAGGGACCAUCCAGCUUUUUAUAAGCACUCAGUUCAAAAGCCUGCAUCUCUGAUGGUAUGGGGGUGCAUUAGUGCCUAUGGAAUGGGCAGCUUGCACAUCUGGAAAGGCACCAUCAAUGCUGAAAGGUAUAUACAGGUUUUAGAGCAACAUAGGCUUCCAUCCAGAUUCCAUCCCAUCUUUACUUCUGAGAGACUCUGCCUCUCUAGGAUACUCUUUUUAUUCCUAAUCAUGUUACUGCCCUGUUGUCAAUUAACCUAAUUAGUUGCAAAAUGUUCCUCCAGCUGUUUCUUUUUAGUAACACUUACUUUUCCAGCCUUUAGUUUCCCCCGUACCAACUUUUUUGAGACGUGUUGCGGUCAUCAAAUUCAAAAUUACCUUAUUUUUUCCAUACGCUAAAAUUCCAUCAGAAUGCU